rnacentral:rRNA from 1 species
UACGAAGGGUGCAAGCGUUACUCGGAAUUAUUGGGCGUAAAGCGCGCGCAGGUGGUUCUUUAAGUCUGAUGUGAAAGCCCCCGGCUCAACCGGGGAGGGUCAUUGGAAACUGGGGAACUUGAGUGCAGAAGAGGAAAGUGGAAUUCCACGUGUAGCGGUGAAAUGCGUAGAGAUGUGGAGGAACACCAGUGGCGAAGGCGACUUUCUGGUCUGUAACUGACACUGAGGCGCGAAAGCGUGGGGAGCGAACAGG